ensembl:lncRNA
GGGUGCUGUGCCCAGGCUGCCUCUGGCACUGCUCCAGGGAGGAGGGGGGCUCCAGCAGUGUCUGAGAGCUGGGCUGUGCUCAUUAAGCACCCUGACCUAAAUGAGUGUGGGGGCUGGGAGCUGUGCCACACCGGGCUGCUCCAGAUCCCCGGGCCAGCCCAGGAAUGGGAGCUGCUCCCCCUGGGCUCCUCCCCAGAGCUCACAGCAGCUUCCCCUCUCCGGGGAGUUCUCUCUUUGAGGUUUCCUCUCUGCCCAGCUGGGCUGGGGCACUGCUUCCUUCCCCCUCAGCCACCCCUCUGCUCCCCAGGGCCUUUCUGUGCCUGGGUAACAGACCUGGGACCCCUCACCUUGGGGAUGCACACCCAGCAGUGCUGGGUCUGUGCUGUCUCAGGGAAGAAUCCACAUUUGGUACAAAAUGUGUGUUCUCUGCUUGUAUUCUCUGUGUUACAAAUGUUCCACAGUUCUUAGCAAAAGCAAACUUGCCCAGCCUGUGGCUUGUGCCUUCCACCUGGCUGGAGCUGCAUUCCCUGGAUGUGCCACCCUGGAGGUGUUCUGGGCUCUCCAUCCCCAGGAUAUGUCACCCUGGAGGUGUCCCCUGGAUGUGCCACUCUGGAGGUGUCCUGGGCUCUCCAUCCCCUGGAUGUGCCUCUCUGAAGGUGUCCCCAAGCUCUCCCUGUGCCACAGGAUGUCCCCUGGCAGGGCAGGGGCAGGAGCUGGGGAAGAGGAGCAGCUCCUCAGAGGAUGCUGAUGCAGGAGAUUCCAUCCUCUGGAAGCGCAGUGCAGCUGUAGGGAGCAGGGAAGGGGCACGGGCCUCCUUAGCGGGGAGCAAUCCUGCUCCUGAUCCCCAAUACCGAGUUUAACUGAAUUUUAAUUUCAAUUUUGUAACCAGCAAAGGCUGGGUGGGGCUGAGACCCCUCCAGACCGUGGUGGCUGGAGGUGAGUGGCUUGUCCUGGGUGUGCAGGAGCUGGAUCCCAGCUGUGGCCUCCAGAACAGCCCCAGGUCCUGGGUGUGCAGGAGCUGUGGCCUCCAGAACAGCCCCAGCAGCAGGUCCUUGUGGAUCCCUGGGGCCUGGCACAGCUCCAGUCUGACUGAUGUAACCCAGUUCUGCUCCUUCACACCUGGAAAAGGGGUUUUGUGUUUGUUUUCCAGGUUUGUUCCAGGUCUAUUCCCAUAAAAAACAUCAUGUCCCUCUCCAAGUGUCACCUUGGGUGGCCCCAGUCCAGAAGCCGCUCCCAGGAUCCCUUUGAGGGCAGCUCCUGGGAGAAAUUUGGGAGUCCAGGGGCUGUGGGAUGGGGGUCCUGGUGAAAAGCUGCUGUGGGAGUUUGUGUGUUGCUGUCUGGGAUUUGAUCCCUCCCCAGUCUCAGGAGUUUGCACCUCCUGUUUCCACUGGGACUGAUUCAUAAAAAACCCAACCCAGGACAUGGAACAGCUGAAUCCUCCCAAGCCCUCAUAAACUCAGAGCUCACCCUAAAAAUAGCCCUGCUGCCUGUUGGAGGUGCAGCCCUGAGUGUUGGUGAGGUCUUGGGAACCAAAAAUAGCUCCUGAAUCCCAGCCCAGCAGAGGUUUUGCCUGGGGCAGCUGCUUUGUGGAGCAGCUCAGCUCAGCACCCCAAUUCCCUUUGAUGCUCCCAGGGCUGAAGUGCUGGGGGUCUGUCCAGGCUGUUCAGCUCCUCCUGGGGAGCUCCUGCCUUUCCCUGGGUGAAUCCACCCAGAUUCGCCCUGGAUUUUUUCCAUGGGAUGAUGUAAGGUUCAAAAACCCCUUUCAAGAGUUCUUUCUUUUUCCUGUGCAAUGAUCCAGCCCCUCCCCAGUCUCUCCCUCCCGCUGCAGCUGCCAGGCUGCUGCAGCCCUUCCCUCCCGAGCUGCUUCCAGCUCCUGCAUUCAGUGAACAAGGCACUGUGGGAUGCUCCAGGCAGCCUUUUCCCCCCCACUGCUUUGGGAAGUGUCCUCCUGAUGCUCCUGCUCCCUGCCAGUGCCUCAGCCUCUUCUGGGCAGCUUUUGUUGCUGUGCCUUGUUCUAAAGGGUUAAUGCUGCCUUUUUCAAUGGAUUUCUUUUUUUUUUUUUUUUUUUUUUUUUUUUUUUUUUUUUUUUUUUUCCCCCCCCCCCCCCCCCCCCCCCCUUUUUUUUUUUUUUUUUUUUUUUUCUUUGUGCCUAGAUAUUUUCAAGUUUGCAGCCUGGGUACUGAAAAUUUUGCAGUGGGCAAUGGAUAGGGUGGGAUAAGUGAAUGGUGAGAAUGAGAGUGGAUUCACUGGGAUUUAUUUCUGUGUCUGUGCCCAGCAAAGUCCCAGUGCUGCCCCUCCUGCCCUGCGUGGGGUGAAGCACCUGGGUGCGUCCAGCUGUGCAUCUGGAAUACUGGAAUACUGAUACCCAUCCAGUCCCCCCUUAAACACCUCCCACUGUCCCAGUUCCUCCAGCCUGGCCUGGGACACCUGCAGGGUGUGGGGUGGCAUUCCCAGCUCCUCCCUUCACCCAGGCUGUGGUAUCUUCCCUGGCAGAAAUUCAGGAACUCCUGGAGGACACAAUUCCAGUUUUCUCCUCACCCUGGUGAUUCCAGCAUGGUCACACCCACAUCCCAUCCCAUCCCAUCCCAUCCCAUCCCAUCCCAUCCCAUCCCAUCCCAUCCCAUCCCAUCCCAUCCCAU